GACGAACGCUGGCGGCGUGCCUAAUACAUGCAAGUCGAACGCAGUGGGGAUGGGUGGUUAACACGUGGGUAACCUCCCAUCAGAGGGGAUAACACUUGGAAAAAUGUGCUAAACCGAUACUGAUGGAUGGACCCGCGGUGCAUUGGCUAGUGGGUGGGGUAACGGCCCACCAAGGCCACGCUGCAUAGCCGACCUGGGAGGGUGACUGUCCACAGUGGGACUGGGAACCGGCCCGUACUCCAACGGGAGUCAGCAGUAGGGAAUCUUCGGCAAUGGACGAAAGUCUGACCGAGAAAGGCCGCGUAAGUGAAGAAGGUUUUCGGAUCGUAAACCUCUGUUGUUAGAGCAGCGGUAUCUAACCAGAAAGCCACGGCUAACUACGUGCCAGCCGCCGCGGUAAUUC
rnacentral:rRNA from 1 species